CCUACGGGAGGCAGCAGUAGGGAAUAUUGGUCAAUGGGCGAGAGCCUGAACCAGCCAUGCCGCGUGCAGGAAGACGGCUUUCUGAGUUGUAAACUGCUUUUAUACGGGAAGAAAAAGGCCCUGCGGGGUUUAUUGCCUGUACCGUAAGAAUAAGCACCGGCUAACUCCGUGCCAGCAGCCGCGGUAAUACGGAGGGUGCCAGCGUUGUCCGGAUUUAUUGGGUUUAAAGGGUGCGUAGGCGGAUUUUUAAGUCAGAGGUGAAAUCCUACCGCUCAACGGUAGAACGGCCUUUGAUACUGACAGGCUUGAGUUAUUGUGAAGUAGUUAGAAUGUGUAGUGUAGCGGUGAAAUGCAUAGAUAUUACACAGAAUACCGAUUGCGAAGGCAGAUUACUAACAAUAUACUGACGCUGAGGGACGAAAGCGUGGGUAGCGAACAGGAUUAGAUACCCUGGUAGUCCACGCCGUGAACGAUGGUCACUAGCUGUUCGACGUACAUUGGUACGUUGAGUGGCUAAGCGAAAGUGAUAAGUGACCCACCUGGGGAGUACGCUCGCAAGAGUGAAACUCAAAGGAAUUGACGGA
rnacentral:rRNA from 1 species